UACGGAGGGUGCAAGCGUUGUCCGGAAUCAUUGGGCGUAAAGAGCGUGUAGGCGGCCAGAUAAGUCCGCUGUGAAAUCUCGAGGCUCAACUUCGAGCUGUCGGUGGAAACUGUCUGGCUAGAGUCCGGAAGAGGAGAAUGGAAUUCCUGGUGUAGCGGUGAAAUGCGCAGAUAUCAGGAAGAACACCCGUGGCGAAGGCGGUUCUCUGGGACGGUACUGACGCUGAGACGCGAAAGCGUGGGGAGCGAACAGG
rnacentral:rRNA from 1 species